rnacentral:tmRNA from 1 species
GGGGGUGACCGGUUUUGACAGCAGGUAGAAUUCGAUUGUAAGCAUGUCGAGCCUUGUGUGGGGUCUCGUAAAACUGAACGCUCAAGCUAUAAAUGGCAAUAACAAUUACGCACUCGCUGCCUAAUUUUCAGGGAAAAUUGGCUUAAUCGCGUGGCCCAAGGAGGUCGUGUGACGAGUAUCCCGAGAGGUUGUUCCGCUCUUUAACAGCCCUCUCAUCAUGGGGUAUCAUCAAUUUAGAGAUAGUGCGACAUGUGCCUCGGUUGUCGUGCGAAAAUUAGAGGCUGGGCCUCGGGUUUGGCUGCCGCCUGCCUGGCUCGAGGAGAAGGACGAAACGGUCGGCUAAACAUGUAGAAAGCUCUGGGGUUCCUUGUUUGGACGCGGGUUCGACCCCCGCCACCUCCACUU